AUCUUCUACCACCUGCGAAAAAAAAACCAAAAUUAAAUCAUAUGAUCUGAAAUACAAAAAUAUAAAAAUAAAAAUAGAGAAAUCACUCACUUAUUUGAACAAGUUGAGUGGCAUUUUAAGUAUUCUCUAUUCUCUCAUGUCAGAAAUCAUACUAAUAUAGAAGUAUAGAAGUAUAAAAGAAAUAAAGAAAACAAGUCAAAAUAUUUAAAGAAUACCUUGAAAUUUUUUCUUCUUCUUCUUUCUCUUAUAAUUUGUUAAUUGCUUUUUUUUCUUUUUUUUUUCAGUUUGCUCUAGGCUGGUUUUUUUUUCCAUUUUAUGGGUAAAAGUUUUCUUUAGCUGUUAUAUAUAUAUACUCUAGGCUGGUUUUUUUUUUUUCCAUUUUAUGGGUAAAAGUUUUCUUUAGCUGUUAUAUAUAUAUAUAUAUAAACUGAUAUAUUUUUUUUAUUGUAGCUUCUUUGAAAACUUUAAAAAUUUGAAACUUUAAAAAAAAGUUAUUUUAUCAGAGACAAAUAUAUAUUUUAUGGGUUGGUGUUUUUUUUGGGGGGGUUUGGGGGGCGGAAUUUAAAAUUUUAUGGGAUUUAAUAUAAUAAAAUUUAUUUUUAAAGAGGUGCUCUGUAAAUUUCUACAAAGCUAAGGGGCAAUGACCUCCACCUGCCCCCUCUGCAUCCGCUAAUGCAUAUAUAUAUAUAUCUUAUGGACUAAAUGAGGAUUGAUAUACAAGAACUAUUUUCAUUUCAAUAAUUGUAUUGAGAGUUUAUUCCUAAACUAUAAUUUAUCCAAUUAAAUAAACCACUGUGCGAUUUAUCAUAUUCUUUGCAUUGCCUUUUUUUUUUUUUACCUCCCAUGCUUUUAUAUAUGAUAUGACAAAUUGAUGUGUUUCGGAUAUCAACCAUCAAAUUAAAAUGGAUAUAAUCAAAUUUGCUUUAACCAACCUAAUAAUAGAAUCAUAUAUUAAAUUUAUGUCCAACUUUGCAUAAUCUUGUAAUACCCUUGCAAUAGUAUAUGCAUACGACUACGAGUUGGUACAUCUACAAAUUUCUUACAUCUGUUUUAUAUGUAUGUAAGCUGCUCAGAUCUUCUAACUACAACUGUUGCCAAAUUUAAUACAUUGGCAAUGUAAAUGGUCUCAUUACAUUCCAAGACCUUUGUAAUCCAUUGGCUCUAAUGUUGCAGUCGUCAAUUCUUUCAAUUGUAAUCACUUUCGAUGAAAAAAGUUUAUUGAUUCGGAGCUUAUCUGUAACACCCCUUAACCCUAACCCGUCGCCGGAACAGAGUUACGAGGCAUUACCGAAAUUAAACGCUAAUAACGGACAACACCGAGGUAUAAAUCUAUUUUUCAAUUUAAAAUUUCUUAAAUUCCAUCUUUAAGUCCCUAAUAUGGACCUACGAGGCCCAAAAUAUACUUAGGAAGUGUUUUGGGAUUAAACCGGAAACUUUGGAAACUUUUCCUUGAGAAUAGGGGCACACGCCCGUGUGGCCUGGGACAUGCCCGUGUGCCCUGCCCGUGGGGCUCCCAUGGCGUGGGGCUAGCCCGUAGGCAGAUUUGACUUGCUCACAUGGCCGUGGGACUAACCUGUGGGCAAUUCUGACUUUACCACACGACCAGGGCAUACGCCCAUGUGACUUGGCCAUGUGAAAACAUGAUUUUUCACCAUUUUAAAGCUAUUUUCACAUAUCAAGCACACCUAAUUCAUGCCCAAUACAUUGACUUAUAAAUCUUGAUCAAAUAACAUUCAUCUAUUCAUUUCAAAUACUUCUUAAAAGUUACAAAUUACUUACACCCAAAACAUAAAUAUAUUAAAGUGACUAAAAUAAAACCUAAUACAUGCCACAUUUCCAAAAGAUAGAUUCAUCACCAGAAACUAAGCUGAGGUCGGGAUUGACUCGGAUGCAGCACCAAACUUCAACUUUACCUAGCCUACGCACGGAAACAAAUCGUACGCUGAGUAUUGGAAAUACUCAGUGGUAUUACCAUAAUUCAAAUUAAAGCAAAUAUAAAAUAUCAUAAACAUGCAUAGAUAAUUAACAAAUCAUACAUAUAAUUCAUACCAAGUUAUCAUAUUUCCAUUGUAUCAUUUUCAUUAUUUGAUUCAAUAAUUCAUCAAUAAGAUUACCAACUAUUCAUGAACCUUUGGUUCAUCUCUCAAUCACAUAUAAAUAUCCAAUUCACAUUCAUAUAUGAAUAAUUCAUGAAUCUUGGUUUUAUGCCUUCAAUCUCAUAGCACAAAUUGCAUUUCUCAAUUCAUCUUACAAUAUCACUUUCUCAUUUCAUUCAAUAAUUCAAUUUAUCAAUUUCAUUUGAUUUUUUUCUCUUCACAUAUAUUUCCCCUAUUAACAUCACUCGGACUUUGGAGGAUACACGGAUUCAACCAAACACACCAGAGUGGCGGUCAACACCUCAUCAGAUAGUUCGAAGCAAAUAAGUGACGACCAACGUCUCAUCGGCUAAGCCGAAGCAAAGUGGUGACCAACGCCUCAUCGAAUCUAUCCGAAGUAAAUAUGACACACCAAGUGUCUCAUCGACUCGAGGUCGAAGAAUCCCUGAAUUCUUCCUAUCCUAUGGCAUGCCAACUAUAUCCACCCUAGCCCGACUAGUUAAUAGGGUAUCGGAAUCAUUCGAAUUCAAAUCAAUCACAAUAACAAUUCAAUCACAAUUUCAAAUUCACCACAAAUCAUUAUACAAUUCAAUUUCACACAUGUAUACAUUCAUCAAUCAAAUCCAAUUCUCAUUCAAUUCAAACAUCACUACUUACCUCAAUUUCAUUUUUCGUGCACAUAUAUUGAAAUUAAACAUUUAAUAAUAAAUAACUUGAAUUAAGGUAAUACAAACCGAUAUUUUCUCAAGCUACUCCUCGAUCACUUUUUUCUUUCCCUUCGCAUUCAACGUCUCGGUUUCUAUGUUUGCUACGAAAAUUAGCAUAAUUAUAAUUAAUUAAUAACACACAUAUUUUAUAAAAAAAUAAUAACUUUCCAUGCAACUUUAACGUAAAUCCCAAAUUUGUCCUAACUAUUUUCAUCUUCUUCCCUUUUUAUAAUUCAUAUUAUUUCCUUAUUCAAUUUCCAUCAAAACUUUAAUAUAACCAUCAAAUUUUUAUCAUUUUUCCAUAAUUUUGAAUUUCUAUCAAUUUAGUCCCUACAACACAAAACUUAUGACCUUGUUUACAUUUCAAUCAUUUAAUCAAUUUAAAUCAAAAUUUCUAUCAAUUAAACUCCUAAUUUCAUCAUUAGUUCAACAUAAACCCUACUUAAGAGUCUAUCAUCUUUCAAUAUUUUCACACAAAUUCAAAAGUAUUCAACUUUAGAACUUCAAAAACAUCAAAAUCACUAAGAAAGGGACUUAACUGACUUAACCAAUUUAACUUUCAAACUUCAAACCCUAAUUUCUCCUUUUUCUUUUCUUUUCUUUUCUUCUUUCUUUCUUUCUAUUUCGUUUCUUCUCUGUUUCUUUUUCUUGUUUUUCUUUCUUUUAUUUAUUCUUUAUUUCAUUUUAUUUCUUUCAUUUACCAAAUUAAUAAUUAAUUAUAAAAUAUCUAAUUAAUACAAAUAAAAAAUACUACAUGUGUAUUCAUACACACAUGUGCACAUGUAAUAUUUCUUCACCAUACAUUUGUCAUUAUCUCAAUUAAUUGAUAAAAUAUAAUAAUAAUAAUAAAAUAAUAAUAAUAAGUAAAUAUCUUUUACUUAAUUUAUAAGUAAAUUUAUAUAUUAUAUACAUUUGUACUAAUAAUUUAAAUACACAUGUAUUUAUUUUCUAACUUACACAUGUCACUAAUUUAGUUUAAUUACUAAUUUAAUCCUUUAUCCUUUCUCUAUUCUAUUAUUAAGCUUUUAUGCUCUAUUCAAAUUUAUCAUUUCUACUAAUUACUUCUAAUUAAAAAUAAAUUCACCUAAUUAAAAUUUAAUUCAACUCACAACUAACUUCGUAAAUUUUUUUUAUAAAUAUUUACGAACUCAUUUUCCUAAGACGGAAGCCCUAAACUCACUUUUCUGGUGCCCGUGAAAUAUGGGUCGUUACAUUAUCAUUGUCUCCAAUUGAAAAAAAAUUCAAAUCAAUUACAUUUCAUAAAUAUAUUUGUAAAAUUCAUUCUCAUUAAUGUUGAAAGGUUCAGGUUUAGUAAUAAUUUAUCAAUUGAUAUAUAAAAAGAUUACGACUCAUUAGGAUAAUAACUGUUUGAUUGCCUUUCAGCUCGAUAUCAUUGUCAUAUUAAACUUUAAUAUUGACUUCAAAUUUAAUUUGGGCUUCAAUUUCAACUUUAGUGAAAUUAAUGGUGAUGCUAUGGUGCUAAGAUCACCUCAAAUGAAAACAGUUUGGUUUAUCUUUUAAUUGCAUUUAUCGGAGAUUGUCUACUUCUAUAAGAUACACACAUUGCGAAAUGAUAAGCUCUAAUCGGUCAACUUCUCCCAACUAUGAUAUAGCCAUUUUUUUUUAUGCAACUCAUGAAUACUAUGCAUAGUAGACUUCUGGUAUUAAACUUGAAAAACGUACUGAUUGAGAGAAUUUUCAGAUGAUAUGUUGACACUGAGAUAGUCGAUGCAUUUGCAAAAUUCUAUAUUCCAUAACCGCUAUUAGGAAUAUCUUUGAGUUGCAUUAUAAUAUUCCCAAUUUCUUAUGGUCCAAACAUAAUCAUCUCAACAUCUUCAGUGUCAUUGAGAUUCAAUGCAUAAUACUUACAUCUUUUUUACUAGACUUCGAAAUUCUAUAUUUCAAGUUACAUAUCCACUUAGUACCUCCAACUUGGAUUUUCUUAAGAAUCUUCCUUUUCAUAUUUUCUAAUGUAACAUCAUUCAUUAACAUCAUGUUACAAAGAAUUUCUAAUUGAAAUAUGGCUCAUCCUAAGUCGAAAUAAUAUAUCCUUUCAAGGGUUAUAUAUCAAUCCGCUAUUUUUUUAAUUAAGACAGUCAAAUAUUAAAUUUAUAAUAUUAUAAAUAAUGCUAACAAUUUCAACAAUUCUUAAUAACAACAUUAACACUACUUUACUACAAUAGCAAGCAAAAACAAUACAAUAACUUCCUUAUAACAUAUGUUUAACAUAUUCAACUGUUGGUUACAAUAAUAACAACAUAACAUUGGCUGAAUAAACACUUACAAAUUUAAUAUCUACAAUUGGUAAAUACAAUAAUAACUUCACAUUAGAUAAAAUACUUAUGACAACUUUUAUAACACUAAUAACAAAAAAAUGUCGAAAAAAUGUACAUGAUAAAUGACUUUUAGUAAAAUUUGAAAUUAAUCAUGAUGAUUUAGGUUUGUAGAUUUUAAGAGUAUUUUUGUUUUUUGAGUUUUGCAAAAUUAAUUUUUGGAGAGAAAGUAAACAGUCAAGUUUAAAUAGUAUGACCUUUGACAACACUUGUAAGUAUUGAUGUUAAUGUUUAAAAAAAAAAAAAAGUCUAAUCUCGACAUAUGAGUGACAAGGUCACACUACAUCAAACCAAAUUUUGAACAACUAAGUAUAAGAUUUUUGAGAGAAUCUUGGAAAAUAUUCACACUAAGUUUAAUAUCCGAGGGUGUUAAACGUCAGAGUAUGAUCAUUUCAUCAUCACUUCACGAACAAGUUAUCGUAAAACAGUUUGUGCAAUAACUCUUGAAAACAAUAAAAUAACUCGACAAUUUGAUAAAAAAUGGUAGAAUAAAUUGUUGGUUACUCAACUUUAGAGGUGAUCAUGGGCCGGGCCGGGUUUGGGCCGAGCCCAGGAAAAAAUUCAAGCCCAAAAUAUGGGCCUAAAUUUUUGUCCAAGCCCGACCCCACGGAAAAGUGUGAAGCCCGGGCCCUGCCCGGCCUGCCCAUAUUAAUUUUUUUUUAGCUUAAGACCAUGAAAUAAUGACAAAAAAAUAAUAAAGGGAAAAAUAAAAACAAAGCUUGAUUUAAAAUAAAUAAUCCUACAAAUAAUUGUUUUAUUUUUAUUUUAAAUUUGAAUUUAAAAUAAAUGUUUCAAACGAAGACAAUUUAAUUUAAAGUUUUUUAUUUAAAUAUAAAUUAAAGUUUACUAACUUAUUUAGUUCCAAAUUAAAAUUUUAUGUUCUGGAAUUUUAUUUAAAAGAAUUUUGAAUGUAUAUUUAAAAAUUAAAAUACUAUUGAAAUAAAUUAUAAAGCUUAAAAAAUUGUAAACACAGAAACAGAACAGAAGCAUGCAUGAUGUACCGACAGGAGUCAAUUAGUCCACAAUCCACAAGCAUUAUUAUUAAAAUAAUAAGUAUCAUUACAUUGGUUUUGAGUUUGACCAGUUAUUGAUUAUUGUAAUCCGACAAGAGUCAAUUAGUCCACAAUCCAUAUGCAUUAUUAUUAAAAUAAUAAGUAUCAUUACAUUGGUUUUGAGUUUGAAUUGUUUAUAAACUCAAUGAAACCUAGUAAAGCACUCGUGUGUAUAAAGCUGUCUGUAUAUUAAAAGCUCAUGGCUUCGAACUCAGACAAUGGGAACUAAAGUAUAUAUGCAUUUGUACAUAGUAAUGAAAUAAUAAACUUGCAAGAAGAAGAUGCAGCAAUGAAUAAGAAGAAGAAGAAUAAGAAGAAGAAGCUUACUGUAAAGAAGAGGCUACCGAGACUGCAAAUGAAUAAGCAAAAAUGAAGAAGCUGAGCUAAGCUUGAGGCUAGCUGGAGGUGGCCGACAGACAACUGGGAUUUGGGUGGAUCAGUGGAGGUGGAUCGGUGGAGGUGGUGGUGAGGUGAGCUAGGGAUUUGGGUUUUGGAAAUGGGAAAAAGGGAAAAAGGGCAGGAAGGCAGCAGCACGAAAUGAUAAAAUGAAAGUGGGAAAAAAAAG
rnacentral:lncRNA from 1 species